rnacentral:rRNA from 1 species
CCUACGGGGGGCUGCAGUGGGGAAUAUUGGACAAUGGGGGCAACCCUGAUCCAGCCAUGCCGCGUGUGUGAAGAAGGCCCUCGGGUUGGAAAGCACUUUCAGUGAGGAAGAACGCCUGGUGGUUAAUACCCAUCAGUAAAGACAUCACUCACAGAAGAAGCACCGGCUAACUCCGUGCCAGCAGCCGCGGUAAUACGGAGGGUGCGAGCGUUAAUCGGAAUUACUGGGCGUAAAGCGCGCGUAGGUGGCUUGAUAAGCCGGUUGUGAAAGCCCCGGGCUCAACCUGGGAACGGCAUCCGGAACUGUCAAGCUAGAGUGCAGGAGAGGAAGGUAGAAUUCCCGGUGUAGCGGUGAAAUGCGUAGAGAUCGGGAGGAAUACCAGUGGCGAAGGCGGCCUUCUGGACUGACACUGACACUGAGGUGCGAAAGCGUGGGUAGCAAACAGGAUUAGAUACCCUAGUAGUC